rnacentral:misc_RNA from 1 species
CCGAGUUUACAAACUCCCAAACCCCUGUGAACAUACCACUUGUUGCCUCGGCGGAUCAGCCCGCUCCCGGUAAAACGGGACGGCCCGCCAGAGGACCCCUAAACUCUGUUUCUAUAUGUAACUUCUGAGUAAAACCAUAAAUAAAUCA